UCAUCUCCUGAGCUGACAAUGUUUCGGACACCUCUGACCUAACUGAAUUGAAGGUUGAAGAAAAAGAUUUGCUCCUCAUACUGAAUCCUUCCACUUUUCACUCUACUUGCUCUGGCUCGGCAUCCAUGCAAGUCUCCCAUGGGUUCCUGGGCAUUUGUGGCAUGGAGAGGAUGAGAAGGGCGAUGCCGGUGAGAAAGAGGAGGAUGAAACCGACGCAGGCACAGGCGAAGGACCAGCUGUAGUAGUACUGCAUCCAGAUGGUGUCCUCGCUCUCGAUCAUGCGUUUGACUGACUGACGCAUCACUUCCAGUGAGAUGAAUGAACACAGACCUACGAGAAAGAUCAGUCAAACUUGUACGAGCCAAUCAAACACAGGCAUCCCAAGAUCAUGAAGACCAAACUGAAGAUGGAGAUGGCUGCAGCAGAGAUGUUGUACUCUGGAAUGAGAAAUGAGAGGGACAUCUGGUGAUUCUACACCCAAGGGUCACUUCACUUGUUACCAUACAUAAUGUAUCCUGUCCUGGAGUGAAGUGGCCGAAGUAAGUGCAGUUUUCAUCUGAAGAAAAAAAGCCACCUCGACUCCGAAUGGCAAAAAAAGACUACACAGUAAGUACACGUAAGUAUCAUUAUCAGUGUUAAAGUAGCAGAUUAGACAUUACACUUGUGUGACAGUUAAGUUAAAUGUGAUUAGAAUGUUUCAUUGACACAGAUGGCUUAAUACUAAAUUGGGUCCACCACCAAUAGUCCCAUUGUUCUAAGGUUCCACUGUGAUUUAUUACCGACUAAUGCAAACAGCCACUCAAAGAAUGUACUGUAGACAUAUUAACACUUCAGUGAGUAUCUCGAAAGAUCCAGUAUUUAUUGUCCUUUGCGUGUUACGAGCAAUGCAAACAGUUGUUGAGUGAAGUGAUUGAACCUCUAAAUCUUCACAGCUCUCGAGUCUAACUUUGCUCCGCAUAAUGUAACUGUACCGUAUAUAACUUGUACUCCACCUGUCAAACAGUCAUACAGUGCCAAUGUGUAAGCCUAUCAAUAACUACACACUAGACUCUCAAAAGGUUUACAGUUUGACACUUGGAGGGUGCAUAUGUGCCAUAAAGGACACAUGUCUGAGGGCAUAUAUGUAUAAAACCAACCAGGAAUAAAUCUUAUUGUUUUACAUUUUGGAUGGUGAUCACUGCAAGGUCCAUUUUGCAUGCUUUACCUCUACUUUUACCUUACCUUUUUACCUUAUCAGACACCUUUUGUUAUGAACUAAAACAGAGGGGGUCUCCAUCAGGUCUAACAUCAGUGACCCCGACUUAACUAAUGGACAGAGAUUCCCACAGACACUCCAGCAUCUCAACCAAAAGUCUUUCCAGAAGCACUGAAGCUGUUAUAGCUCAUAAAUCACUUAAAACUUUACAUUGCCAUUUGCAAACUAGGCUUACACAUUUUAAUUUCAUUCGACUUAUGUCACGCUGAAUGCUUGACUGACACUUUUAUUUCAGAACGCACAUAUUUCUGAAAGCAGAAGCAUGUCUGAUAAUGGAAAAUGUUGCAGGCCAACAUAACUGUGAGUUUAAGUGAGAACUUUGACACAUGUAUCGGCAAAGCCACCAUGACAUGAUGCUGUUGCGUGAUCUCACGUGAAAUAGAGUGCAUGUCAGUGACGCGGUACAGUAUAUGCCAUGAUGCUUUACUUGCAUGUGCAUUCUUAAUCCUAUACAUACACUCUCAGUAUGAAACCUCUUUGAAAUGCUUGCAUUUAGAAAUAUACAUGUUAUUUCCCAGUUGCAGUUAAAGGACCCAUGCUGGUGGAAAAACUUAAAAUGAAAUGGAAGACUGGCUGGUGACACAACAAAGAAAGAAAAGCAAUAGGAAACAGGCUGUUCAGAAAGCUCUACUGAAAACCUCUUUAUAGAUGAGGAUUCAUGCCAUUUUGAACAUAAUUUUGAUAAGGCAUGUAUACAUACUGUAUAGUUACAGUGUGCCGGUCAGUGGCUAUUUACAUUGGUUGAUGUCAAUUGUCACGUUUCCAUGUUUUUAUUAUGUAUUCACCUAUUUACAGGAUUUUUUGUGAUAAAGGUAUUUAUGUUACUUCAGAUUUUUUUUUAAUUUAUUUGUUUUUUGUGAACAUGUAAAUUGGCAAACAUAAAAACAAUGCCAUUCAAUGCUUUUGUAAGUGUAUGUAAGAGAUACAGAAGGUGGAUAAUUUUAAGUACCUGGGGUCAACACUUCAGAACAAUGGAGAUUGUGAAAAGGAGGUGAAGAAGCGUGUGCAGGCAGGAUGGAACGGUUGGAGAAAAGUGUCAAGUGUGAUGUGUGAUAGAAGAGUUUCAGCAGAAAUGAAAGGAAAGGAAUACAAAACAUAGGUGAGACCAGCCAUGUUGUUUGGUCUACAGACAAAAAAUACAGGGACCAGAACUGGAGGUAGUGGAGAUGAGGAUGCUGAGGUUCUUAUUGGGAGUGACCAGGAUGGAUAGGAUCAGGAAUGAGUACAUCAAAGGGACAUUACAUGUUAAAGGCCUUGGAGAUUAAUUCAGAGAGGCCAGACUGAGAUGGUUGGGACAUGUCCAGAGGAGAGAUAGUGAAUAUAUUGGUAGAAGGAUGCUGCGUUUAGAGCUGCCAGGUAGGAGGCGUAGAGGAAGACCAAAGAGGAGGUUUAUGGAUGUAGUGAAGGAGGACAUGAGGGUAGUUGGUGUGAGAGAGACAGAUACAGAAGACAGGGUUGCAUGGAGAUUGAUUUGCUGUGGCGACCCCUGAAGGGAAAAGCCCAAAGAGAAAGAAGAAGAUGACCAAGUCCCAAGUUUAAAGGUCAUUUGAAGUGGUUUUAUGAAACCCUGGUGAAAAAGUCAUCUAAUCUCAUAUACCUUUUAUGAAUGAUGACAUGGCCUGGGUAUCAUAUGAAUUAAGAAAAAAAAUUGUUACUUAGCAACAACAUCCAAUUUGGAGGACAUAGCGUUACUUCUCAGUCAGACCUUGAAUUAUUGAUGGCUUGGAGCAUUUCUUUUCAACAUGUUUACCCACAUAAAGUAUGUUAGGAAAUGCAAAUCCUUCCUUCAGUCUGCUCCGUUCUUUCUUCUUGUUUUAUCUUGUCACAUAAUUGCAGAGACUAUAUAUUCUCUUGCUACAUUGAGACGUACUUUUUUCAAGAUGAAAAAUGUUGGCAUUGCCAAGUGGCCCUUCAGUCACUGACUCGGAAUCUGCAUUGCGAUGUGCGUCUAAGUGGCGCCUCUCAGUUAUUUAUUAGAGGUUUGGAGCGAGGCUGAUUUGUGCUUAGCUAUUUAACUACUGGUACUCUUGAUCAAGUUUCUUUUUCAUGUCACUUUGGUUUUGCAGUUUGUAAGUUACUCAAAAUUCACAUCUGAUUUUUAACAUAACAUAACACAAAGCAAUAACUAUAUACAAAAACCUUGACUAACAAACAGGGGUUAAAAGUACAGAAUGAUUUUGUCAGUCUUAGUAAAAUAGGAUCAUUAGUAGUGUAGUCUGUCACCUAGCUGACUUUUUCAGCUGGUGAGGAAUCUUUGCAAGUCCACUCGUCAUUAUAAAUCAGCUGACAUAAGCUCCAGGCCUAGACGAGCCUUGGUGGAAGUCUGUACCAUUCCGGUUGACAUCUUGUUUAAAGCCUCAAUAAAAAUACGUUGGUAGGCGCAAAGAUGCUGCUUACAAUUUGUCUGUCUGUCAACUCUGGGAAAACCGCAGCUUGUUUGUUCGUCGUGUGCUCUAGGCUGUGCUGACAAGCUCUUUAAAGCCACUUUUGUUCUUAAUGGGCCACGCUGCUGUGUAUGUGUGGUGUUUGUCUGAGGGCGCAUUUUAGCACAUUUGAUGUCACAACAGUCUUUUUGUAUGUACCCACAGCAAGAGCUAUGCUUCAUCUUCAUGGUUUCACUGCAGCAUGGUUGUUGUCACUGGAAGCCAACACAAGCAAUGUCAAAUUGGGUUCACCAUAGAGCUCCGAGCAGAGCACUUUUAUGAUGAAACAGUCCUCAAAUCCACUCUUACCUGCACUGAUUCAAUAGCAGCCAAAAAUGCAUGGUUGACGCAUAAAGAAAUUGAUCCUACCAGCUGCCACUAUUCAACUGGAUCAGCGCAGAAUUCCAGUAAAGCUGCUUGAGAUUAAUGCAGUGUGUGGGAUUUUAAAGAGUAUGGAAUGAAAAUGUCAAAUUAAAGCCGUUUCAUCACUCUCAAAAUCAAAGAAUAAUUAGAAUUAGAAGGUGGUCAACAGUCGAAACUCAGUGAUGUUUUUUUCAGGAUCCAGCUGAAACCUGAACAAGAUAAUACCGAAAA